CAACCUGGGCCUUCUGCAUUGAGAGUGCAGAGUCUUAGCCACUGGACCUCCUGGGAAGUCCCUACUGAUGUUAUUAUUAUUGUAAAUGCAUCAUGCUGACCCCUGGUUGUCCCCUCCAUGUUGCUCAGAGUCCUAAGGUUCCACCACCUCCACCUCAUCCUCUCUUGCUUUGCUUUCAGGUGCUUUUAACAGAUUGACAGUGAGUGACAAGGGCCUCUGUGAAGUCAGCUGCCCGGCUGCUGCUGCUGCUGCUACUAAGUCGCUUCAGUUGUGUCCGACUCUGUGUGACCCCAUAGACGGCAGUCCACGAGGCUUCCCCGUCCCUGGGAUUCUCCAGGCAAGAACCCUGGAGUGGGUUGCCAUUUAAGAGAAUCUGUUGAUGCUGUGUCAGCACGGUAGCUUGGCAAGAGAGCAGCCAUAUGGGAAACAUUAGGGAGGAAUUCUUGGCGCUUCCUGGUACAUUCCCAAAGCUGGGCUGGAGAAGGUAGAAUGUGGGUUUUUUUUUUUAAAUAAUGUUUUACUUUUUUAGUAUUUAUUGGAGUUUAGUUGCUUUACAAUGUUGUGUUAGUUUCUACUGUACAACAAAGUGAAUCAGCUGUACGUAUACAUAUAUUCCCUUUGCUGCCAUGUUACCGCGUCUGAGUUCUUGCUGCUCAUCUCGUGACAGGCCAAUAAUUCUGAGAGACGAGGUGUCGAGGUAAGCAAUACUACUUUAUUUGGAAAGCUAGCGGACCGAGAAGAUGGCAGACUAAUGGCAAACUAAUAACUAUCUUAUCAGGGUUCGAAUGCCAGUUUCUUUUAUAGAACAGAGUGUGGGGAGAUGAGAAAGUAAAGUAAAAAUGCUGUUAAUUUUGCUAAUACCUUCUGGAAUGGCCUCUGGAAGGGGAUGUGUCCAUUUCUUCCUUCCUUAGCCAUCCACAGGUGGACAGCAUUUUGAACAAAGCCAUUUUGAUUUAACAUUUAGGCAGGGGCACAGGGUUUCCUGGGGCAGGCCCUUGUGACAGAAGCAACAGGAAGCAAAUGUUAAAGUAAAAGAAACAGGUCUAACAUGGAGUCAGUUCUCUCCUGUAAAAACCACAGAGCAUUGGGUAAAGUUCCCUGUGCAAUACAGGAGGUUCUCAUUAGUUACCUACUUCAUACAUAGUAGUGUAUAUAUGUUAAUCUCAAUCUCCCAAUUCAUCCUGCCUCCCUGAAAUAAUGUAUUAGUCAAUUGAGUCCACUGAAAGGCUUUUGUUUGUGUGGAAAAACCAUAGAAGCAGUACUGUUUCAGAAGCAUGCUGGCCCCACCUGCCAGCACCCUGACAGCCCACAUCCUUCCUUGUGAGGGAGUCAGACCUUGAAAACUCUGGUGCAGAGAACUGUCAGUAAGGGCCAGAGGACUGAGCCGGGAACUGACUGCAGCUCUCGGGAGACAGUUCACAUCUGAACGAGUUGAGUCUGAUCUAUCUUAUGCUGAAGUACUAACCCCCAGGACCUGUGAAUAAGACCUAAUUUGGAAACUGAGUUUUUGCAGAUGAGGUCAUCAGAGUGGGCACUAAUCCAGUAUGAGUGUGUCCUUAUGCAGAGGAUAAAUUAAGACACAGAGCGACCCACAAGAAAAAAAAGAGCCACAUCAUCUUUGCUUUGAACCAGACCCGCCUGCAGCGAGAGCCUGCGAGCAGGCAGCUUUCAGGUCCCCUACACACAGAGGACCUUCUCAAAUACUGGAACUGUGGGGACCUCGGCUCCAUCAUCUUCAUCCAUGACAGCUCCCAGAUGAGAGCCCUUGACCCCAGCCCAGCUCAGCACACAUUUAAGUGCAAGAAUAAGGACGUUACCUGCUGACACCCGGACAUCCUGUGUACAAAAGAUUGAGGUCACGAAGGGCUCUAAAAAUAACUGUGCCGAUGUAUGUAUUGAGUGAGAUGCUGCAGUCAACAAAGACAUUCUUUAGGAAACUGAGGAACAUUGGGAGAAUUCAUUCCAGAUGAAGUCAAAGGAUAAAGUUUCAUGGGACUGGGCAGCAGGCGUCAUGAACCAGCCUGCAGAGAGGGGAAGGGGUCUGAGUCUGACAGCUUCCUGGCUGACUUAGACGUUUUCAAUUUUAUUAACGCCACACUACCACUGUAGGCUCGCUUCACUGCUCAGGAGAUUGACAGCUACUUCCUCCGGGGAAGGUUAUCUACAAGAGAAAGUAGAAGAUGGGGAAGUGUGUGAAGGCCCAUUUGGAGGCGUUCCUUUGACAAAGGCUUUUUCUUUGCCUUUGGAGCUGGUGAGUUGCAGGUUCUCUCUGAUCAGACUCAGGACUCUGCUGCUUCUGCCAAGGAGGGGAUGUUGAGGAGGGCCCUGGUAUGUGUGACAGGAGUGAUGCCUUCUUUGACUUUUUUAAAAUUAAACUUUUUAUUUUCUAUUGGAGUAUAGCUGAUUAACAAUGUGAUAGUUUCAGGUG